GAUGAGUUUUAAGCGCCUGGACUGGUAUAGGCCAGUUGACGAGGGCUGGGAUUUUCGAGGAUUCGGCGGGUGUCCCAGGGGUUGAGGAGAUCAGCCCAGAAAGCCGUUUUACAAAACCACGGAGUGAUCUGUGGGACAAAAAAAGCGGCAAUCUCCUUU
rnacentral:ncRNA from 2 species